CAUGUUUUCAUCUCUAGCAUGGUGCAUUAGGGUUUGUAUGGAUACCUGCAUGGGAAUAAGUCUGCAUAACUCAUUUGAGCAUUUAUUUUAUUGAGGGCUGUGUAGAAGCCUGCUGAAAAAUUACUUCUCUAAUGGUUAGUCACAACUGAAUCUUUCAGAGGAGGAAAGAGCAGACACUAGGCACAGAACAAAGAGCAAAUGAAACAGGAACUGUGGAAUAACACUGUGUUCCCAAAGAAAACAUAACUGCCAUAGAUCACAGAAUGAAAGCCCCAGAGCACGCAGCAGAGAAGUCCAGCAACAGGAGUCAACAUUUACAGAAAACCCUGUAGGAAGACUGUGGCACUACCAACUGAUCAACAGGUUACAGAACUCAUUUUAUACUGCAGCCAGGCUGAGGAGGGCCCAUCACCUGCACAUAAAUAUUUGGACAGUGGCGACAACUUGAAGACAGCUAGCUGCAGAGUGAUAUUCCAGAAUAAGAGUUUUGAAGCUCCAGAUGACUAGCUGACCUGGGUAUUAAUGCUGGAUAUAGCAACGUCCUUCUAUGUCCUUCUAAAUUUUCUUCAUGAGUAGUGAUAAGUUAUGCUGAGAAAAAUUCUUGAACCUACAGUUAUACAACAUUGUUCUUGCCGCCUUUCAAAAAUGGACAAUGUCUCCCAUAUGGAAUAUCUACUGAUGAUCUUGCAAGAAGGUGAAUAAAAAAUCCAAUGAAGACAUAAAACGAGUUUCAUUUAAAAAAUCUGGUAAAAUGGAAGUUUGCUUUACACAAACAGUAAAGAAGCCUUGGAAGAUAAUGUUGACUUCCCAUGCUCAAAAGUACUCUGACUCAGGAAGAUAGCUCCAGCCCUUCAAAGGAAGGGCUGUCUGCAAUAAAUGCCCAUGGAGACCUCUCAGCAAUUCCAUAAGAUAAGUGAAUUGGCUUAAAUCAAAUGUUUUGCAGUUCCAUUUACAGAGCAUUUACUGGCCAUCGUGUACUACUCAAGUUACUAGAACACUAAGUUGACUCAUGCUUGGAAAUACUGGUUUUAUGUUGCUAUCAGAGUAUUGUCAUAAAUCCACCCACAAUUACAAAGAGUCCUACUCUGCUGCUGUAGCUACCUUUAACUCCUUGCCCUCAGCAAAUUGUAUGCCUAGGGAGAUGGACUACUUCGGCCUUGAGAAAUUUCCAAUUAGGUCAUUUUGAGAAGCAGUCUGGAUGUGUGGUCUGAAAUAGCAUUUCCAGUUUUUGCCUAUUUUUAUUUUUGAGAACUGCUUGCAAAUAAAUGCCACUGAGUUUGUUAGG
rnacentral:lncRNA from 1 species